UCUUCAUGGCCUAAUUCCCUGAUCCUCCAACCAGGAGGCCCCCCCAGGCCUGAAAGAAGUGUUUGUAAAGAAAAAUGGCAUCGUGCUCUUUGCUGGUCUGCUUUUUUCUCACUUCAUUUUAACCACACCAAUAUCUGGAGCUUUGGCCAAACAACUUGGCUUCUAGAAAAUGUGGUAGGGAGUUUUCAAAUGAGUGUCAACUCCCUUAGAUCUUUUAAAUUCCAAGAACAAAAGAUAAAAGAAGCUCUACCAAAAUACAAACAACAAGCAACAACAACAACAAUCUUCCUACCUUGAUGUGUACGUCUGUAAUUGUGGUGUUAAAGUUGUGUAGGGAAAAAGGGAGAAAGCUUCAUUUGUCUUCCUCCAGCUUGAGUUGAUAGGUGGUGAUUGGACUAAUGGUCCCAUGUACUGUUGUGACUUCAGGAACCGCCGUGAAGCAAGGAUUCAUCAAAGAGGGGAAGUGAGAGGAUUUUGUUUGCUUAUUUAAUAAAAAAAAUUUUUUUAAUAGAGAUUUCCU
ensembl:lincRNA